rnacentral:rRNA from 1 species
UACAGAGGUCUCAAGCGUUGUUCGGAUUCAUUGGGCGUAAAGGGUGCGUAGGUGGCGCUGUAAGUCAGGUGUGAAAUUUCGGAGCUUAACUCUGAAACUGCAUUUGAUACUGCGGUGCUUGAGGACUGGAGAGGAGACUGGAAUUCACGGUGUAGCAGUGAAAUGCGUAGAGAUCGUGAGGAAGACCAGUGGCGAAGGCGGGUCUCUGGACAGUUCCUGACACUGAGGCACGAAGGCCAGGGGAGCAAACGGG